rnacentral:misc_RNA from 1 species
UCACUGCUUGCGCAGGCAGUCUCGCUAGAGUCCCCGGCAUUACCCGCUGGUAACUAGCGAUAGGGGUUGCGUUCGUUGCGGGACUUAACCCAACAUCUCACGACACGAACUGACGACAGCCAUGCAGCACCUCACUACCGGUCCGAAGAAGACCCCUUUUCGGGGGUUGUCCGGUAGUGUUCGAGCCUGGGUAAGGUUCUUCGCGUUGCAUCGAAUUAAGCCACAUGCUCCACCGCUUGUGCGGGCCCCCGUCAAUUCCUUUGAGUUUCAACCUUGCGAUCGUACUCCCCAGGUGGGAUGCUUAAUGCGUUAGCUUGGACACUGCCCCUGAAACGGACCAGCAUCGAGCAUCCAUCGUUUACGGCGUGGACUAC